rnacentral:rRNA from 1 species
GACGAACGCUGGCGGCGUGCUUAACACAUGCAAGUCGAACGGAAAGGCCCUGCUUGCAGGGUACUCGAGUGGCGAACGGGUGAGUAACAAGUGGGUGAUCUGCCCUGCACUUCGGCAUAAGCCUGGGAAACUGGGUCUACUACCGGAUAGGAGCCAUUUUUAGUGUGAUGGUUGGAAAGUUUUUUCGGUGUAGGAUGAGCUCGCGGCCUAUCAGCUUGUUGGUGGGGUAAUGGCCUACCAAGGCGGCGACGGGUAGCCGGCCUGCGAGAGUGGACGGCCACAUUGAGACUGACGUGCGGCCCAGACGCCUACUGUAGGCAGCAGUGCGGAAUAUUGCACGAUGGGCGCAAGCCGGAUGCAGCGACGCCGCGGGGGGGAUGACUGCCUUCGGGUUGUAGACUCCUUUCGCUAGGGACGAAGCUUGUUGUGACGGUACCUAGAUAAGAAGCACCGGCUAACUACGUG